GACGAACGCUGGCGGCGUGCUUAACACAUGCAAGUCGAACGGAAAGGCCCUGCUUUUGUGGGGUGCUCGAGUGGCGAGCGGGUGAGUAGCACGUGAGUAACCUGCCCUUGACUUUGGGAUAACUUCAGGAAACUGGGGCUAAUACCGGAUAGGAGCUCCUGCUGCAUGGUGGGGGUUGGAAAGUUUCGGCGGUUGGGGAUGGACUCGCGGCUUAUCAGCUUGUUGGUGGGGUAGUGGCUUACCAAGGCUUUGACGGGUAGCCGGCCUGAGAGGGUGACCGGCCACAUUGGGACUGAGAUACGGCCCAGACUCCUACGGGAGGCAGCAGUGGGGAAUAUUGCACAAUGGGCGGAAGCCUGAUGCAGCAACGCCGCGUGCGGGAUGACGGCCUUCGGGUUGUAAACCGCUUUCGCCUGUGACGAAGCGUGAGUGACGGUAAUGGGUAAAGAAGCACCGGCUAACUACGUG
rnacentral:rRNA from 1 species